rnacentral:snRNA from 1 species
AUACCUCUCUUGGCCUUUUGGCUAGGAUAAAGUGUAAUACUUGUUCUUAUCAAUUUAAUAUCAAAUACUAGGACAAAAGAUUUGGCACGACGAUGGAGUCGUUGUGCAUCCAUU